GACGAACGCUGGCGGCGUGCCUAAUACAUGCAAGUCGAACGCAUUGCGGACGGGUAAGUAACACGUGGGUAACCUCCCAUCAGGAGGGAUAACACUUGGAAACAGGUGCUACACCUAUACUGAUUGAUUGACCCGCGUUGCAUUAGCUAGUUGGUGAGUUAACGGCUCACCAAGGCCACGAUGCAUAGCCGACCUGAGAGGGUGCUCGGCCACACUGGGACUGAGACACGGCCCAGACUCCGACGGGAGGCAGCAGUAGGGAAUCUUCGGCAAUGGCCGAAAGUCUGAACGAGCCACGCCGCGUGAGUGAAGAAGGUUUUCGGAUCGUAAAACUCUGUUGUUAGAGAAGCGGUAUCUAACCAGAAAGCCACGGCUAACUACGUGCCAGCAGCCGCGGUAAUUC
rnacentral:rRNA from 1 species